rnacentral:rRNA from 1 species
UGAGGAAUAUUGGUCAAUGGGCGCAAGCCUGAACCAGCCAUCCCGCGUGCAGGAAGACGGCGCUAUGCGUUGUAAACUGCUUUUCCAGGGAGAGAAACUUUCGCACGUGUUGCGCAGUUGACGGUACCCUGGGAAUAAGCAUCGGCUAACUCCGUGCCAGCAGCCGCGGUAAUACGGAGGAUGCGAGCGUUAUCCGGAUUCAUUGGGUUUAAAGGGUGCGUAGGCGGACUAUUAAGUCAGUGGUGAAAUCCUGCAGCUUAACUGCAGAACUGCCAUUGAUACUGAUAGCCUUGAGUUUGGUUGAGGUAGGCGGAAUGUGUAAUGUAGCGGUGAAAUGCUUAGAUAUUACACAGAACACCAAUUGCGUAGGCAGCUUACUGGGCAGACACUGACGCUGAGGCACGAAAGCGUGGGGAUCGAACAG